GACGUCACUUUUGGAGAAAGGAAAAGGCGGGGGACUACAUAUCCCAGAAUGCUCCGUGGAUGCGGAAGUGGUUGGUGCCGACCUUGGGAAAACUACAGUAUUAAAGCAUGGCGAAUAAAGAGCCCAACUUCCUUCAACAUUUGAGGGAUUUUCUGGACGUAUGUCCUUUGGUCCACGGGGUGCAGGGACUGGACUGAAAUUACUAGUCGGUGCUGGUGUACUUGGCUAUGGGAUUAAAGAACCCUCAUAUACAGUGAAAGGUGGUCAGCAGGAUUGGUGGAAUUCAGAUGGAUGCAAUUCUGUCUGAGGGUCUGCACUAUAGGAUACCAUGGUUUCAGUACCCCAUUACAUAUGAUAUCAGAGCAAAACCAUGCAGGAUUUCCUUCUUAACUCUUUCACUUUUUAUCCUUCGGGAGCUGUUUGAACGUGCUAAAGAUUUCAACAUCAUCCUCGACGAUAUCGCCAUCACAGAGCUGAGCUUCAGCAGAGAGUACAGCAGCUGUAGAGGCCAAAUAAGUUGCCCAGCAGGUGGCACAGAGAACAGUGAAAAAAGCUAAACAGGAUAAAAAAAAAAAAAAGAUUAUCCAAGCUGAAGAAGAGGCCCAAGCAGCCAAAAUGAUUGCAACUUCCCAGAACAGAGUAUAUCUGAAUGCAGACAGCCAAGCCCUAAACCUUCAGGAUGAGUCAUUUAAUAGAUUGUCGCUGAAUAAAAGGAAGUAACCCACCAGAGAGCGCUUGCAUUCUGCACUUAUAAGGUUGUGUGUGCAAUGAUCCAUUCACUGCAGGGUUCACAUUCUUCAGGUGCCACUUUCAAAGGACUUAAUCUAAUAAUUACCCUUGAAAUUCAUUAGAUACGUUCAACAACAAGAUUUCUUUAAUUUACACUAUUUUCAGCUAUAUAUUGCAGUUCUAUGCAACAAAGAUCUGUUAUGAAAUUCUUAAUUCAAUGCCUGUUUUACUGAUUGUUGCCAUUAAAUGUAUUAAUGUGAUGUACAAAAAUCUUUUAAAGUCCCCCAAUUUUCUGAAAAAUACCAUGGCUGUAUUCCAGUGAGACUCAGGCAUGAAAGGAUGACAAAAUAAAAACUUUUUGUGUUCAAGA